AUGACGUGGCAGGUCACCUGCUCCUACUCGCAGACAGCAGUGGGCCCGUUCCGGUCGUGCUGUGUCUGUUUGUCCACGUUCUACAGCAGGACAAUUGUGGAGUGCCCCGACUGCACCUGCGGCGCCUGCCCAGCUAGGACCUCCACGGCGCCGCAGUGCCAGGACGCCGAGAUCCGGUGCACCGGGCACAUGUGCCCGAUAAGGGUGCACUGGCACAUCAAGAAGAGAUACACCGAGUACUGGCGGGUGAAGCUGUCGAUCAACAAUUUCAACAGGUUCAAGAACUUCACUGACUGGAACCUCGUCUUCCAGCACCAGAGUCUACAGGAGUUGACCCAAGUUUUGAGCUUCGCCUACGAGCCGCUUGUGCAGCGCAGCACGAUCAACGACACAGGCCUCUUCUGGGGGCUCCCAAGCUUCAACCAGAUGUUGCCCCAGGACGGUACUGUGCAGACAGAGGUCCUGCUGAGGAAGGGCAAGGAUUUCAGCUUUUCUGGUGGGUGGGCACUGCCUAGAAAGAUAUACUUCGACGGCAGCGAGUGCACGAUGCCGCCACCAGACGACUUUCCCCAGCUGCCCAGCAGCAGCCCUGUUCAGCGCUUCUCAGGAGGGCACAGGUGGUUGGCCUCAGGGGCCGUCUUAGUGCUUGGACUACUACUGACUUGA
rnacentral:rRNA from 1 species